GACAGUCAGACAGAGAUAUGACAUUACACGUUUCACGUCCAACAAGUCGUAACUUUCAUAAGUUUCUUCGCAGCAAAUUAAAAAGUUAAACAACGGAGAUCGAAUGAGUCAACUGUUUAUAAUGUCAGCUGAAGUUGUUGUGUGACCUGGCCAACUGGGACCAAUAAAUAAAGCAGCCAAUAAUGCAAGCCAUGUCUUCUGAAGCUAAAUAAUUUCUGUUGCAAGUUAACUUUUCGCUGUCAAGUUGUAAAUCUUCAAGAUAUUGGUGCCUUCGCCAGAUCCAAUUCUUUACUGCAAUCUAUUUUAAGGACACCAGCAAGAAAAUGCUGCUACUCAAGAUUUAACGGUGACCACCACUGAGUUCUAAUUUAAGACAUGUUAAUCCCUCACCGCCGUUAUAGUUGUUUGAAACUGAUGAGAGAUUGCUGGAACUGAAGAUUGAUAAUUUGUGUAGACUUAGAUCAAUUACAAGUGCAUAUCUGGGCUGGGCUCCUUCUUUUCUGUGGGCCCGUUUCCCUAACUAACCAAUAACCAACGCCCGCCGGUGGUCACUCAC